rnacentral:tRNA from 1 species
GGUUGUGGCUCAGUGGUAAAGCACUUGCCUAUUAUGUGUGAGGCAUUGGGUUUGAUUCUCAGGACCA